rnacentral:rRNA from 1 species
GAUGAACGCUAGCUACAGGCUUAACACAUGCGAGUCGAGGGGCAGCGGUAUCGAAAGCUUGCUUUCGGUAGCCGGCGACCGGCGCACGGGUGAGUAACGCGUAUCGAACCUGCCUCAUACUCGGGAAUAGCCUUGCGAAAGUAAGAUUAAUGCCCGGUGUUUUCAGAGUCCCGCAUGAGGCUUUGAACAAAGAUUUAUCGGUAUGAGAUGGCGAUGCGUCCCAUUAGCUUGUUGGCGGGGUAACGGCCCACCAAGGCAUCGAUGGGUAGGGGUUCUGAGAGGAAGGUCCCCCACAUUGGAACUGAGACACGGUCCAGACUCCUACGGGAGGCAGCAGUGAGGAAUAUUGGUCAAUGGGCGGAAGCCUGAACCAGCCAAGUAGCGUGCAGGAAGACGGCCCUCCGGGUUGUAAACUGCUUUUAGUUGGGAAUAAAACGGGGCUCGUGAGCCCCCUUGCAUGUACCAUCAGAAAAAGGACCGGCUAAUUCCGUG